rnacentral:rRNA from 1 species
GAUGAACGCUGGCGGCGUGCCUAAUACAUGCAAGUCGAGCGAACGGACGAGAAGCUUGCUUCUCUGAUGUUAGCGGCGGACGGGUGAGUAACACGUGGAUAACCUACCUAUAAGACUGGGAUAACUUCGGGAAACCGUAGCUAAUACCGGAUAAUAUUUUGAACCGCAUGGUUCAAAAGUGAAAGACGGUCUUGCUGUCACUUAUAGAUGGAUCCGCGCUGCAUUAGCUAGUUGGUAAGGUAACGGCUUACCAAGGCAACGAUGCAUAGCCGACCUGAGAGGGGGGUCGGCCGCACGGGAACUGAAACACGCUCCAGACUCCUACGGGAGGCAGCAGUAGGGAAUCUUCCGCAAUGGGCGAAAGCCUGACGGAGCAACGCCGCGUGAGUGAUGAAGGUCUUCGGAUCGUAAAACUCUGUUAUUAGGGAAGAACAUAUGCGUAAGUAACUGUGCACAUCGUGACGGUACCUAAUCAGAAAGCCACGGCUAACUACGUG